rnacentral:rRNA from 1 species
GACGAACGCUGGCGGCGUGCCUAAUACAUGCAAGUUGAGCGCUGAAGGUUGGUACUUGUACCAACUGGAUGAGCAGCGAACGGGUGAGUAACGCGUGGGGAAUCUGCCUUUGAGCGGGGGACAACUUUUGGAAACGAAUGCUAAUACCGCAUAAAAACUUUAAACACAAGUUUUAAGUUUGAAAGAUGCAAUUGCAUCACUCAAAGAUGAUCCCGCGUUGUAUUAGCUAGUUGGUGAGGUAAAGGCUCACCAAGGCGAUGAUACAUAGCCGACCUGAGAGGGUGCUCGGCCACAUUGGGACUGAGACACGGCCCAAACUCCUACGGGAGGCAGCAGUAGGGAAUCUUCGGCAAUGGACGAAAGUCUGACCGAGCAACGCCGCGUGAGUGAAGAAGGUUUUCGGAUCGUAAAACUCUGUUGGUAGAGAAGAACGUUGGUGAGAGUGGAAAGCUCAUCAAGUGACGGUAACUACCCAGAAAGGGACGGCUAACUACGUG